UACGUAGGGACCAAGCGUUGUUCGGAUUUACUGGGCGUAAAGGGCGCGUAGGCGGCGUGACAAGUCACUUGUGAAAUCUCUGAGCUUAACUCAGAACGGCCAAGUGAAACUGUUGUGCUAGAGUGCAGAAGGGGCAAUCGGAAUUCUUGGUGUAGCGGUGAAAUGCGUAGAUAUCAAGAGGAACACCUGAGGUGAAGACGGGUUGCUGGGCUGGCACUGACGCUGAGGCGCGAAAGCGUGGGGAGCGAACCGG
rnacentral:rRNA from 1 species